rnacentral:lncRNA from 1 species
GGGACAGGGACAGAAAUGUCUCAGACCUAGAGCUGUCUGCUGACCCCUGAAGAAGUCCCCUAAAUGGCAGCCCAUCCACCAAGGAGACAGGCUGAUUUCCAGGGAGUCUUGAACAAGGUGGGGCUGACAGACCAUUACGAGCCCCAAUGCACUUCCAAGGAGGAAGUGGGCUCCUGGGAAGACUGUGCAGAAGACAAGACACAGCUUGUGGGCGGAGUCCGCACAGUGGACCCUCAGGAGACAGAGCUCAGUGGCGCCUCAACCAAACCCGGAAGUCUUGUUCUUCCAGCUUCUG